rnacentral:rRNA from 1 species
CACGAACUGCGCGAACGUUAUUCGGAAUCAUUGGGCUUAAAGAGUUCGUAGGCGGCCUGAUAAGUUGGGUGUGAAAUCCCUCGGCUCAACCGAGGAACUGCGCCCAAUACUGUCAGGCUUGAGGGAGACAGAGGUGAGCGGAACUGAUGGUGGAGCGGUGAAAUGCGUUGAUAUCAUCAGGAACACCGGUGGCGAAAGCGGCUCACUGGGUCUCUUCUGACGCUGAGGAACGAAAGCUAGGGGAGCGAACGGG